CGCCUCCACCGAAACUGAUUCUUGCGCGUGUGGUAUACAGCUCGUUAUUUUUCAAUUUUUCGCGAAUCUUAGCCCCCUUUUAACGUUGAUUUUUGUUUGUAACCUAAUCCGCAGGGUUUUUUGUCACGCCUUCGCACGCGCCACAGUAGCCCGCGGGUCGUGGCGCUGUCCGGGUUUCCCUCGCUCUCGUUAUCGAGAGAGACCGAGGAGUGGAGGCCCAAGCCUCGGUGUUGUCUGAAUUCUCCCCCGGGCAGGGGGCGCCUGAACCCGGCUGGGAGCGUGAUUAGAAUUCACAGUGCAGAUAACACUGUAACCAUUUUUUUGUUUCUGGGUAGUGUUAUUUCCUAAUUGCUUAUGCCUCGAAAGUACAGAAAAUGUAUAUUAUUCCCCACAAACUUUGCUUUUGUGACCAGGACAGUGAUAUUUAGAAAUUUAUCUAUUUUCCUGAACAUUCAAGAUAGAUUCUGUGCUGAGUAUACUUGGAGUAACUUCUAGAAUAUUCUAGAACUUUCCAGUAAUAUAAAUAAUAUAAAUGCAGGGGUCUUAAGCCCACCAGUUCAGUUUAGUUCCAGCUGCCUAAGUGGAUACAUAUCUGCAUUUUUCUGAGAUGGCAUCAAGAGGCUGCAAGCAUCCGGCAGACGCAUUUUGCUAUGUCUGCGGCCAAUUUAUCAAGACAAGAGCGAGAAAGUACUCUGUGGAAGCAUCUGCUAGGAUGUGUGAGGCCUACAAGGCAUAUUUCGGCAUGCCUGUCGGGGAUCAAGACAAACCUUGGGCACCUCAUUUCACCUGCGAACAAUGCAAAAAAACUCUGGAAGGAUGGUACAGAGGGGAAAAGAGAGCCAUGAAGUUCGCUAUCCCAAGAAUUUGGCGGGAACCCACUGACCACUCAAGCAACUGCUACUUCUGCAUGGUGGACCCUUCCAAACGUCGGACUGGCAAGAAUGCACCUGCCAUCACGUAUCCGGACCUUCCUUCAUCCAUCGCCCCGGUGUCACACUGCCAUGAGCUUCCUGUACCCACUCCUCCGGAGAGAGAGCGGCCGUCUUUAGAAGAGAGCAGCAAGUCAGAGAGCGAGGAAGACGUAGAUCCAGAUGACAAUUUAAGAGGUGGAGCUGAGGAGAGAAACCCAUACUACCCCAACCAAAAAGACCUCAACGACUUGAUCAGAGAUCUUGGUCUCAGUAAGUCCAAUGCCGAGCUUUUGACAUCUAGGCUCAAGCAAUGGAACUUGUUGUAUUAAAGGAAGCGUCACCAACCUUUUUGCAGCUUCUUCACCUGUCGAGAUGGGCUCUGCUGCCACAAUGUGACCAAUCUGUUCGAGGCAAUCGGAAUCGCCUGUAACCAGAAUGAGUGGUGCCUCUUCAUUGACAGCUCAUCCAGGAGCCUCAAAGCCGUGCUGCUCCAUAAUGGUAACAAGUACCCAUUUCUUCCCCUGGCUCACUCGGUGCACCUCAAAGAGGAUUACAACAGCAUCAAGACCUUGCUGGAUGCCUUAAAGUAGGAUGAGUACGGCUGAGAGGUCAUCAGAGAUUUCAAAAUGGUGGCAUUCCUGAUGGGUCUCAAAGGCGGUUUUACCAAGUUUCCCUGCUAUCUUUGGCUUUGGGACAGCAGGGACACCAAGGCGCACUACCACAGGCGGGACUGGCCACAGCGGACCGAGUUCUUUGUGGGGAGGAACAACGUCAAGUGGGAGCCACUGGUGGACCCCCAGAAGGUGCUUGAUGCCACCACUCACACAUCAAAUUGGGCGUUAUGAAACAAUUUGUCAGAGCUGUAGAUAAGGAGUCGGCAGUCUUCAAGUUCCUUCAAGACUUCUUCCCUAAGCUGUCUGAGGCCAAGGUCAAAGCCGGUGUCUUUGUCGGACCAUAGAUGAAGAUCCUGGAGUGCAAUGAAUUCCCCAAGAAGCUCACUAGUAAGGAGAAAGUGUUGUAACAGUUUUGUUGCAGUGGUUCGUGGCUUCCUGGGCAGUCAUAAGGUCGAAAACUAUGCAGAGCUGGUUGAGACUCUGGUGAAGAACUACAGCAUAAUGGGCUGUAUGAUGCCCCUCAAAGUCCAUAUCCUUGAUGCUCAUCUUGAUAAAUUUAAGGAGAACAUGGGAGUGUACUCGGAGCAGCAAGGUGAGCACUUCCACCUGGAUAUACUGGACUUUGAACACCGCUACCAAGGACAGUAGAACGAGAACAUGAUGGGAGACUACAUUUGGGGGCUGAUUCGUGAAAGUGAUUUACAGUACAGGGUGUUUCAAAAGAUGGGCCCGAUUUGAAAUCGCGAUAUCUCUGCAACCAUGAACCGCCCAUGAAUGAAACUACCACUUGAAAGGGCAGGGCAUAUAGUUUAAAAUAAUUACCCCUUGAUGCCUCUCCCAGCGCACAAAUAGCCCCUAGCCUCAGUCAUUCGCAAGAUGGUGACCCCGCAACACAAGGCGUUUUGUGUUCUGCAGUUCAGCAAGACUGAAUCCGUAAUUGCGGUGCAGCGUGCGUUUCAACGGUGUUUUGGCAUUGAUCCGCCAAUGUCAAAGAGCAUUCGUCGUUGGUACCGACAAUUUGAGGAAACAGGCUGUUUAUGUAAGGGGAAGAGCACAGGGUGACCACGCACCUCAGAGGAAAACGUGAGAAGAGAGGCGUUUGGGACGAAUUCAACUAUUGUCUCGAUGUUGUCCGUACAGCAGGUGGAGGGCACAUAGAGCAUUUAUAAAAUGGUUAGUAAAACUUUAUAACUCAUUGAGCCGUUUGGUUUGCAACUUUUUGUGUUAUUGUAACAUGUUGCCAUCGUGAAAUAUACUGCUUUGAAAUUGGGUCCAUCUUUUUUAAACACCCUGUAUUAUCGUAAAUCUCGAAAAGCUACUCACUUCUAAAUCUUUUGUUAUUUAUGUAUUACUUUAGUAUAAAUACAUGUUAAUUUUGAAUCAUAUCUUCUUGGUUCUUUCGGUAAAGUUACGUAGAAGGGAAAUAAAUAAUAAAAAUAAAACAUUAAAUUAUUCUCACGACGUUUCGGCCACAACGCAAGCACCCAUCCUCAGGUGAAGACCAGGUCUGUCGGGGAGUGAGUUUUACUUGUGAUCACUUUUUCGCAUUGAACAAUUCAAAAUACCGGUGGCAUAUUUGGCAAGUGGUCCUUCAAAGCGCAGCACACAACAAGACUUGGAGUAAGUGCUGUUAGCGAGCAGCACCUAUGUAGGCCGGCACGGUACACGAGGGGGUGGGGUGGCCAGCACCACGCCUGACUGCCUUUGUCUCCCCAGUGGCAAUGUUUUAAACACCACACCAGGUACUCAUUUUAGAUUGAGUCGACCUAGAGGAGGCCCAGGACAGAGAGGUGGUUUAUUGAAUAUGCAGUAUGCGUGUCGCUCCUUAUGAUAUUACAUUUACAAAACUUCAAAUUAAGAUUGAUAUUACAUUUGUUCAGGAUUACAUUUUUGUUAAGUGCAUUGUUUGCCACCGGACAAUUGCCCAUUAUAGGCGGAAUAAUCAAACGAAACUAACAACGAGCAGAACACCGGUCAAAGUUGGCAGAGUGGGGAGCACAGGUGAUGCAUCUGUAGGGGUGUUACGGGAGGGCAAACAAACACACAAGGGGUGGUUACGUCCGCACGCGGAAGGGUGCUUACAUCCACGUCCGCAUCGGUUAGCCCUGGGGGGCUGUAACGGCGCUGUGAUCCACCACGGCCCUACCCCUCGGGGGGGAGUUGCUAUAUAAGGCGGUGAGCCGGUGGGCUCGGGGUUCAGUAUUCAGCUUAACCAGUGAAGAGUGAAGACCGGCUACAUAGGCCCUGGGACUCCCCUGGCUCGCUGUCCUUCUAAGGACCGACCAGGGCAAGCCAGUGGUGUGGCCCCGAGAGCCCAGAGCCAAUGCUCUUGUAAGAGCCGGUCUGGUUGGUGAUCCUAGCUUGGCCAGAGCUGGAUCAGCUAGCCUCCCCUAGAUCUCGAGUGGAGGACCUGGGAGCAGGCUAGACAGGCUAGUGUUAGUGGGGUCUCCCUGUUAGACAGGUGAAGGGGCUGUUACCCCUUCAAGUGUUGUAUACAUUGGCCUGUGUUGAGUGUAAAGUAUAAUAAAUAAGUGUGCCUCCGACUACGUCGUCUACGUCUCAUCGAACUCACUACACAUCUGCCAGUCGUCUCGGUCAACCCCAUGGCACCUGGGGUCUGUCCCGUGCCCUGCCCUCGAGCCUUCGUCACUUCACGUGGCCCUCACUGUGCACCUUGCCUGGCACAAGCACUGUGCUGUUAAUCGCACCUGUUGUUCAGCUCUUCUGGAGGUGAGGGUUGGUGGAUCAUCUAUAUAUAGUAAAGGGAAAUUUGUGAAUGUGUGUUUGAAAUGUUUAGCAUAAUUCCCAAAAUGUAACAAACUUUAAAUUUGGCAUGUGGGUAGCUUCCAGACUGUACACAAUGCAAAAAGUAUAAAAUAGGCUUGUAUUUUGGGUAUGUUUUGCACGGCAAGUGAGCGGGGACGUCACAUCUGUGAUGUCACCCGCAUGCGGCAGCGUUACCAGCGUUACACAGUGUGCCUGCUGACGUCAUGCACCCCCUCCCCCACCCUCCGCGUAGGCCGUGUAUUAAUCCAAGACAAUAAUCCAAGUCCCGGGCGAAGCCGGGUAGUAAAGCUACUACAAAUAUAAAACAUAGAUGUGAAACUCUCAACAGGAUUUCCUGGAGAAGGCUGUGCAGGAAAGUGUGGACUUUGUUGCAUCUGUAUGGAAUUGUAAUGUAGCCCCCUCGCGUGUGUGUGGGAUUUCUCCGUGUGCUCCGGAUUCCUAUCCCAUGCAUCAACAUUAAUUGUCUGUGAGAGGAUCGCAGAGCUUUAGCAAUUGGCUGGCUGGCCUGCCUUUCUGUUUGUGGUUUCCUGCGCCUUUGAAUAAUAGCAAAGAAUCCGUGCACAUUACAAAUGUGUGUAUUUUUUGUGGUGACAUCGCCAAUUUUCUGCUCUUAUUGUAAGUGAGCGUUUGGUUAAAGAGUUUGUGAUGUGUAUGCAUAUCAUCGUGCGAUAUUUCUUAAGGAUCCCGCGCUCGGUCUCUGCAAUGUUGACGCUUUUGUUGCUGUGCUCAUGCACCAUGGAUCUCCCUUGUAAAAUAGUGUGCGUUGUGUCUCUCUCCGUGGUCGUUUUUCUCCGGAUCCUCCAGGUUUCCCUCCGUUUAGAAUCGACAUCACACGAUUAGAGUAUUUGGCUGCUAUAGAUUUCCACGUGAUGAUAAGCCACUUCGUUGAGUUAUCAUUUGUGGCCAGGUCACUUCUCAAAAAGAGCUGUACAGCUCAGUGGGCCUUACCUGGUGAAAUAAAAUAGUUCAGUUUCAAUUUUUAAAUAGCUGGGCAACUUUCUAAACGGGAUCAUCCAUGCAACAAAUCAAAAUAACCUAAACUAUUGUAUGUGUGUGUAAUUGAGAUUGUGUAAUGUUUGUGCUUUCUCAAUAUUGCGUGACUAUGCUCUGAGUGAGAUUGUAAUGUGUAGACUUCGGUAUUAGUGUACUUUGAGUAUUAGUAUAGUGCAGAACACUAUCAUUGUGGUGCCAGUUCUAAUGUGUGCUCGACAGUAUCAACACUUAAAGGUGGAGGUGACUUAUUGGAUGAUCUUUUUAUUUUGUGUUUGUGUGUGCAUGCAUGUAUGCCAUAUGUAGAGUUGUUCAAUAAGCAAACAGUACUCGGGCAACAUGCUCAUCCUAGUCCUUAUGUUUAUAAUUCACCAUGUGAGAAAACAUAGUCGAUGGAGUCUGAUUAAAUUUCUUAACCAUACCAACCGUUUGGGAUGAUAUGGUGAUGUAUGAAUCUUACGUGUGCCAUUAUUGUGUGCAAACGGCUUUCAGUCAUGUAUAUUAAAAAUGAGCACCCUAGUCAUUUAACAGUUUUUCUGGGUGGCCCUGAUCUAAAACAUAACCAUUAAGAAAUACGUCCACAAUGGUCGUGGCAUUUUUGGUAUAUUAGGGGCUAUGCUACUGGCCACCUUGUAAGAUAUUUCAUUGCUCCGAGUAAAUACUGAUUUCUGUUCUUGGUUUUAGGUAAGGGUCCCAAUAUGUCCGUUGUGAUUACUUCAUUUACUCUUGAUACUGAAAUAGAUUUCAACGGAACCUGUCUGGGUUUUGGAGGUUGGUUUUUUGGCUACAUUUAUUACACAGUGCAGCCCAUUCUACAUCUUUCUACAUACCAGGCCAUGAAUAAUAUCUAUUUAUGUGACCAUAUGUACGAUGUACCCCAUGAUACUCUGCAUAAAUAUGGUUGUGUCCAUGAUACAACACACAUUUACGCAGUACCUCCGGUAGAACAAUGUCUACCUUUUGUCAAUGGAUUGAUAUACAUUGUCAGUCCCUGCCACUCCACGUAUCUCAUAAGUCGAAAUUUGCUCUUAAUUUUCCUAUGUCUACAUCUUGUUCUUGAUAGUGAACCCAAUUUAUCUAUGGUAGUCCUAAAUCACAUGGUAAGGUCGUCCCUUGCUGAAUAGUCAUUACCGUUGAUGGCGGAGGUGAAGCAGAUCGUACUCGUCCAGUCAAACAUGCAAAUGGAGCCAGAUGGUCGUUGGUGUCUGCAUGCGGUAGUUUAGAUAAGGCAUCAACGUUGGUACGUUGUAUUCCUGCUCGAUGAACUAUCAUAAAAUUCCUGUAAAUGCUCUACCCAACGAGUCAUUUUACGAGAGUGCAUACUCUAAACCAGUGGUUCUUAACCUUGUUGGAGGUACUGAACCCCACCAGUUUCAUAUGCGCAUUCACUGAACCCUUCUUAAUUGGAAAAAUAAAAUAUGAUUUUUUUCAAAUUCAAAACAUAGGUAUAUGUUUUACUGGUGCACAAAAUGAACCGUGCAUCAACAUCACUGUUCAAAGAACAAAACCAGCAAAACAUGAUUUUCACACAAAAACAAAAACAUAAUAAUGAAUACUUACUGCAAAUCAGUGUGACUUCUGCUGUUGCCUUUCAGAGACCAGUUCAGAAAUGUGCGGCUUCACCUUGGCAAGUGCCACUCAUGUCAUUUUCGCAACAAAGUCUGUUCCUUUUCUUCGUUUUUAAGUGCCGCAUCCUCGAAAAGGAUUGCUCGCAAAGAUAUGUUGUAACAAACGGUAUGAAAAUCUCCAGGGCUUUCUUAGCAAUAACAGGGUACGUUAUCAUUUGUUGACACCAAAAGUUGAGAGCGUUGUUGUUCUGAAGAGUUGCUGUUGAACCUGGCUCUGCUGAAUUUCAAUGAUUUCGUCGAGGUAUUCUUCAUUGACAUCUGCUGUCUCAACACUAAACGUGAACUGCUGUCUCACCCAUGCUGGAUAUGACUCUCUUGUAGGGAAGUAUCCGUCAAGAGACUUUGCAAGCUCAUCUAAGUGCGUGGCAAUUGCUUGCUUCAGUUCCGCGGGUACAGAAAUGUCUCCGAUUCCAGAUACAUCUUCGAUCUUACUUACAUAGUCGUCCAGCAGGGGAAAGUUUGCGAAGUUAUCGUUCUCUGUUCGUCGUUUCCAUAACGGUAGCUUUUUUUUAAAAGCCUUCAGGUUUUCUUCCGCUUCAAUGAUGUUGAC